rnacentral:rRNA from 1 species
GGGAGCUUGCUCCCGGAUGUUAGCGGCGGACGGGUGAGUAACACUGUGGGUAACCUGCCUGUAAGACUGGGAUAACUCCGGGCAAACCGGAGCUAAUACCGGAUAGUUCCUUGCAACCGCGAUGGUGUCAAGGAUGAAAGACGGUUUCUGUGCUGUCACUUACAGAUGGACCCGCGGCGCAUUAGCUAGUUGGUGAGGUAACGGCUCACCAAGGCGACGAUGCGUAGCCGACCUGAGAGGGUGAUCGGCCACACUGGGACUGAGACACGGCCCAGACUCCUACGGGAGGCAGCAGUAGGGAAUCUUCCGCAAUGGACGAAAGUCUGACGGAGCAACGCCGCGUGAGUGAUGAAGGUUUUCGGAUCGUAAAGCUCUGUUGUUAGGGAAGAACAAGUGCAAGAGUAACUGCUUGCACCUUGACGGUACCUAACCAGAAAGCCAGCGGCUAACUACGUGCCACCCGCCGCGGUAAUACGUAGGUGGCAAGCGUUGUCCGGAAUUAUUGGGCGUAAAGGGCUCGCAGGCGGUUUCUUAAGUCUGAUGUGAAAGCCCCCGGCUCAACCGGGGGAGGGUCAUUGGAAACUGGGAAACUUGAGUGCAGAAGAGGAGAGUGGAAUUCCACGUGUAGCGGUGAAAUGCGUAGAGAUGUGGAGGGAACACCAGUGAGUCUGAAGGCGACUCUCUGGUCUGUAACUGACGCUGAGGAGCGAAAGCGUGGGGAGCGAACAGGAUUAGAUACCCUGGUAGUCCACGCCGUAACGAUGAGUGCUAAGUGUUAGGGGGUUUCCGCCCCUUAGUGCUGCAGCUAACGCAUUAACACUCCGCCUGGGAGUACGGUCGCAAGACUGAACUCAAAGGAAUUGACGGGGGCCCGCACAAGCGGUGGAAGCAUGUGGUUUAAUU